rnacentral:rRNA from 1 species
UGCCAUCCGCCGCGGUAAUACGGAGGGUGCAAGCGUUGUUCGGAAUUAUUGGGCGUAAAGCGCGUGUAGGCGGUUCGUUAAGUCUGAUGUGAAAGCCCGGGGCUCAACCCCGGAAGUGCAUUGGAAACUGGCGAACUUGAGUCCGAGAGAGGUUAGUGGAAUUCCCAGUGUAGAGGUGAAAUUCGUAGAUAUCUGGAGGAACACCGGUGGCGAAGGCGGCCCACUGGGAUUGUUCUGACGCUGAGGUGCGAAAGCGUGGGGAGCAAACAGGAUUAGAUA